CCACGGGCGCUGCAGUAGGGAAUAUUGGACAAUGGGCGAAAGCCUGAUCCAGCAACACCGCGUGCACGAUGACGGCCUUCGGGUUGUAAAGUGCUUUUAGAGGAGAUGAGAAAGGACAGUAUCCUCUGAAUAAGCCUCGGCGAACUACGUGCCAGCAGCCGCGGUAAAACGUAGGAGGCAAGCGUUAUCCGGAUUUAUUGGGCGUAAAGCGCGUGCAGGCGGUCUAGCAAGUUGGAUGUGAAAGCUCCCGGCUCAACUGGGAGAGGUCGUUCAAUACUGUUAGACUAGAGAAUAGGAGAGGGAGGUGGAAUUCCGGGUGUAGUGGUGAAAUGCGUAGAUAUCCGGAGGAACACCAGUGGCGAAAGCGGCCUCCUGGACUAUUUCUGACGCUAAGACGCGAAAGCUAGGGUAGCAAACGGGAUUAGAUACCCGGGUAGUC
rnacentral:rRNA from 1 species